GUAUAAGGAGGGUGGUUGUAAUUAGGGUGCCGCUGCGGCUGCUCUCUUAUCCCACAAUGGCUGCUGCUCCGCUCCGCUCCGUACUCCAACGCCGCAAUGGCCUUCUGCCCUUGUUCGAAACCUGCCGCCUUCGAGAUCUCCUCUUCUUCUCCUCCUCUGUCGACCCUGCCGCCGCCGUAGGCGGCACCAUAUCUCCAGAUCCCCACUUCAUGGUGGAAUACCUCGUGAACUCCUGCGGGUUCUCCCCCUCCGAGGCAGCCAAGUUCUCUAAACCUCUUGCGCACCUCCGAUCCACCGAGAAACCCGACGCCGUCCUUAACUUCAUGAGAUCUCAGGGCCUCGGUGGCGCCGCUAUCAGGAAGGUGAUAUCUUCGGAACCCAAUUACCUGUGCUACAACGUGGAGACGAACAUCGCCCCGAAGUUUCAGUUCUUACGUGAUUUGGGCCUAUCGGAGUCGGAUAUCGUCGAUGUCAUCCUGAAGAACGAUGUUAUUCUGCGCCUCGACGUUCACCGUUCCUUGGUCCCCAAAUUGGAGAUGUGGGAAAGUCUCUUGGGAUCGAGAGAGCUCGUUCUCAAGCAUCUCAAGAAGACCCGAUGGUUUUUCUUCUCCAGCGUUGAGAAGAAAUUGCAUCCUAACCUAAAGUUCUUGAGGGAUGAGUGCGGCAUUCCUGAAGAAAGGCUCUCUCUUGUCUUGAGAAGUCACCCACAAUUAAUCUCACAGAAACCAGAGUCACUCCGAGCUUUGGUUGCGAGAGCCGAUGAGCUGGGGAUGCCACGGCAGUCUCGGAUGUUCAUGUGGAUACUUGAUGCUCUCCUCAUGGUAAGCAAAGAAAGGUUCGAGGCCACGGUCGAGCUCAUGAGGAGCUUCGGGUGGUCGGAGUCGGAGUUUUCUUCUGCAGUCAGGAAAAAUCCCACCUUCUUAGGCAUCUCCCUCGAUAUGUUGCGCAGAAAAGUGGAUUUUUUUAUCAACGUGGUCGGUUACACCACUUCCUUCAUCGCCUCCCAUCCAAAUCUCUUGCAAUUGAGUCUGCAGAAGAGGGUAAUUCCUCGGUUUCGUGUUUGGGAGAUGUUGAAUACGAAAGGCUUGUGGACUCGACGAGGCAAGUUUUCGUACUUUGUGAAAUUAUCAAAUACAAAAUUCCAGGAGAAGAUUGUUCUACCUUACAAAGAAAAAGUUCCUGAGCUUCUUGAUAUUUUGAGAGCAGGUGAGUGUGAAGGGAAAUGAGCCCUUUUAUUUGGUAUCAGAGGAGGAUGAGAAGGGCUUAGCUGAUGGUCUAACUCACAUUUGAAUUUCUCAACAGGAGCUGAGCAGUGAUUCGGCACCUUUUUCCUUGACAACAAGCUGUCUUACAUCAACCACCAGCCUUGGCUACUGAGGUGCAGUCCAGUGAAAGAAUUAUUCCUUUGGUGUCAUAUGGUAGUAAUGUUGUAAUUGGAAGGUCUAUGCAGUGCCCAACACAAAAUGUCUUCCAGUUUUACUCAUUAAGGUUCAUGGAAAAGUCUGUUCUUUGUUGCAAAGCAGAAGUCCCUUGCCUGUUUGAAAUCUCUGAUCUAUGAAGGUGGACCAAGAUUAUUCAUUGUCUGGAUCUUAGGCCUCUGCUCCUACCAGCACAAUCUUCGUCGCGCACCGCUUCCUUCAUGGCAACUUGAAUGACAAUACUGUGGCAUAUUCUUCAAGAGUACCCGUCUCUACGUCCUCUUGCCUCGUGCUAAGGCCUUCUGAACCCAAAUUUGCCUCCGCAAAUUGAGUCGCCUUAGUUCCUCCAUCAAAUGCUCCUUCGAGAUAAGGUGCAUGUGCCCAGAAGCUUCAUUCGUCUUUGGCACCAUGCAAGAUGAGUCCGUUCCGUCAGAAUGAAUGACCCAUGGAACAACAUGAUCCUGCUCUUGCUUUUGCAAGAGUUCAUGUCUUUGAUUUCUGUCCAAGGAAAGCAUUAUACCUCCACUCUAUGUUCCAUCUUCUAUGCUGGCUCCCUUUAUGCAGCUUGGGUACUUCGCCAAGUUAUACCCAAGUUGUUCCGCUCCUCGUUUUUGCAUUGAGUUAAUGGUGGCCCUCGCGCCCACCAUUCCACGGGUCAGCCCUCCCUUGAGUCCGAUCUCCAUAUUGACUCCAAGUGUGCCUUCAUUUGUGUUGCUUUGGGUCGCUCCCCCACUUGAUCUCGCAAUGCAUCCACUAAUACAUUCUCUCAAGCGAGAUCAUGCGACGACUUCUCGUCGCUUGCUCGGUCCAUUGAGCUUCAUAGAGUUGUUGUUUGUUGAGGUACUCCUCCUCAACAUGUGCGAUCUGUUGCACAUGAUUCUCCCUCUGGAAAGCCAGGACUUAUCCCUCCUGAAUAUCUAUCCCGUUGGAGCAACAUAUCUCUUCGUUUCGGAGACCAUCAUCCCCUUGGACUACUCCGAUCUGCUGAACAAACUGUGCGUUGUUCCACCUCCUACAAACGCAUUUGCUAGAUUACGACUCUACGUUAAUACAGCCCCCGCUGCACCACUCAAGGCCUAGUAACAUGCUGAACUCGUUGCACACUUCAACCUCCUACGGACGUAUCCUUCACAUGCUGAAGAGAAAGUUUCAAUGCUCCAUGGCGCCAAGUUUCGGUCGCCUUGGGAUGGCCACCAACAUUCCAUCGUCCGCAUACAAGCUCAUGCAUGAGUACCAAAUUCUUCGAGCUAGAAAUUCCCCUCACCUCUGCGAGCUUUGCAUAACUCUUUCGGUCGUUGAGCAACUCAUUCCACAUUGCAUGGUCUCAUUCUUUACCAAGCGUCUCGCUUGCCUUGAGCACCAUUGAGUAUAGUUAUCAACGUUGAGCCGUAGCUCAAACUCAGCCAUCCCAACCUUUGUGUGCUUCGUAUUCUUCCAAGCUUGCCUGUUCUCGUGAUGCCUCUUGCGCGAAGGGUUGGCCAUUCCUCUGAAUGCCAAUGUCAGAUGUCCGCUCCUCCGAGCGACUCUUUUUCCUACAUCUCCAUGCCCGUUUUCCCCCAAACGAUUGCGCGUGUGCUGACUGCCCUCAAUGCAGCCCCGCUAGGUCCCCCACGUUUGCAUGAUAAGUGUUUCUAUGAGUGCUUGUCUCGCUCUGAUACCAUCUGUCAUGGACUUAGUUGGUUUUGCCUAAGUCGUGCGGCACCCUUACGUGUUCGUCCGCAAAAGUCAACCUCCUCGAAGCCUCCCAUUGUCCCUUAGCACCAACAAAAGAGAGAACGGGUUAGAGAGAACACCUAACUCGGGAUCCACAAGCAAAGAUCUCUGAAAACACUUCAUAGACAAUGCAAAUUACAAAUAGACUUUACAAGCUCUGAACAAUUGCACAACAAAGGGUAAAAUGGUCCACUACAGACCGAAAAUCUCUCACGUGUCCACAUGAAACAACCUUUAUUUACAAGCCUAAAGCGAUCACCAACCUAACUAAAAUGGGAUUAUUAAGCCUUCGGUCGUCCCUCUACAUGUUGUACAAAGUAUGAACAUACCAAAAGGCACGGACAUACAUAAGCAUUACAUCAAACAUCCUGUUUCAAAGUUUGUCCAUGAUAGUAUGCAACCCGUUUCACGUACUCAACCCUGUAUCUUACUUUCUUUAAAUGUUUGUUAUGGAUUGCUCCUCAGGCAAUCAGGUAAGUGUUAUUUCUGUGAAUUCUUCAUCAAGUCUGCUGCUUUUUCUUCUUCCAAUUGUAAGUUAUGGAUCUGUUUUCAU